rnacentral:piRNA from 1 species
AAUCUGUGUCUUUUCAAGCCGUA